UGAACAAGAUUACAACCUGCCACUGAUACCACUCGUCCACUACUUCCUGGAGAAUAUGUCCACUGAAAAAGACACCAGCUGAAGGACUCCUGCUCCUCUCCUGGGAAAUGACCUUUUCUGAAGUGAGAUUCAUGGAAAGUAACCUACCAUGAGCUCUUGAUGGCCACAUGGCUGCCCAAUCACAAGGCAUCAAACCUUGGGUAGAGACGUUACAACGGAUGAAGGCUCCACCUAUCUUCUGGUCCCUCCCCUCCUGCACAAAAGCUGGCAAUCUCAAACGAAACUGACUAGGGAGAGAAGUGGCCACCACAGAGAUCCCUCAUCCCCUGGCCAAGAGCUGAUGCAAAGGAGGCCACGAUCAGCAAUCUCUCCUUACCUCCUGAAGAUACUGCAGACCCUGCUGGUAAAGCAACAGCUGCCCAAUAAAAAAUCUAGACUGACCAGAGUUGUUCCUGAUGAGACAAGCCUCUGACAGCCUCUAGUCGAGCAAGGAGGUGUCUGUGCUGUGACCCACACCCCUGUACCUGGAUCGACACUUCGCGGGAAGGGGAGACUCAGCCACAGAAGACUACUGAACAAGCCCAGCACUUUCUUAGGCCAGCAGCCCAACCAACACAGUCGUUCUCUGGGGGUCAUUCUGGUUACAAGAGUAGUCACCGUAGGGUGCUGUGUUCUCUCAAAACCUUUAAAUACAGCUUUGCAGCCACAGGCAGCCAAGCACACGCUCUCCCUCGAAUAGAACAUCAGAAAAGGAACAGAAUGACUGACUGAAAGAAUGUGAACCCAAUGUCAUGACCUGUGAAGACCACACAGAGAUUCAACAAAAAGCCGGUAAGAACCCCAGAGCCAUAGCUGGGGGUAGCCCUACUGCCUUACAUUUGGAUCAUUUGGAUGAAAAGGGGAGAACUGUUAAAAACAGCAGGCCCGAAAUGCAGUUGUAUAGGCUAAGCUCCACGUCAUCACACCGAGACUUGACUUUACAGUUUCAGCUCCCCCAGGAAUGGAAUCCCCCAAUCCACACGAUAAGGACGUCACCUGCCAGACACCUGCUGUCCCCGCCUGCCUCUUCACCUGGUGUAACUGCCUGUGCUUGC